rnacentral:rRNA from 1 species
UACAGAGGAUGCAAGCGUUAUCCGGAAUGAUUGGGCGUAAAGCGUCCGCAGGUGGUUUUGUAAGUCUGCUGUUAAAGCGUUAGGCUCAACCUAAUAAGGGCAGUGGAAACUAUGAGACUAGAGUAUGUUAGGGGUAGAGGGAAUUCCCAGUGUAGCGGUGAAAUGCGUAGAGAUUGGGAAGAACACCGGUGGCGAAGGCGGAUCUCUGGGCCUUGCCUGACGCUGAGGCGCGAAAGCUAGGGGAGCGAACAGG